GUAUGACAAAAAGCAAGACUUUGUCUUGCUUUCAUCAGUGCAUGGACAUUUGAGCUCUUUCAACUUUUUGGCUAUGAUGAACAUGUUUGGAAUGCUAUGAACAUUUAUGCACAAGUUCUGGUUAUGGAGAAGAAAACUAAGACACACAGAGGAAAUGAAUAUUUCCAUAAGGAAUAAAUAAUAAAGAUGUGAGAGAAUUCAACUGAUCAAUGUGUUUCCAGAAGGUUGGUUAUGCUCCAUUGGUCAGAACAACAACACUUGAGGAAUUGUUUCCUCUGUCAUGCCAUAUACCUGAUGCAGAAGAGAAUGUAACAGUAUGGAAAAUGCUUCUGAUAUGAUUGUAAGUGAAAAAAAUAAACUCCAAGCAGAAAGC